CUUCAUGCUUCUAUUGCUUUUCAUUGUUUUGUCUCGAACUGCUCUUUCAUUGUUUUCGGUUUUGCUGUCCGUGGCUCUGUCUCGCUAUCUUCUUUCUCGGUCUCACUCGCUCUCAGACUGGAUGGUUUUUCGACUUGGAAGGAAAUCGGUUUCGAGGUUUGCCAGAUUUGUGGAGUUGUGAUUGGGGGUUGAAGAUUUUGGUGUUUUUGCGUUUGUUUUCAUCUGCGAUUGACGAAUUUUGGCCGGAUCUGUUCCCUGUUUUUUUCUCUGUUUGAACGACGGCUGCCUUUCGGUUGUUAAGCGACGACUGUCUUUAGAUCGUUGGAGAAUAAAUUUAUUACAACUGAGGUCCUGCUGACACCAACUCAUCUAGCCAUUGUGAUGGAGUAACUGGGGGAGAACUCUUCGAGAGAAUAAUCAGUGCUGGCAGAUUUAGUGAGGAUGAGGAAUACUCAACCGCGGUUCCAGUUCAUCGUUAUGAAUCGGCGCAAUACGGGUACAAAUUCUUUACACCCACGCUUAUUUAGGUGAAGUUUGCAAUCCAAUACAUGAGAAGAGUUAUCUAGAAAAAGGCAAAAUAUGACAUAUUAACGUGAACACCAUUAAGGGUGGUGGUCUGUCAUUUUGUUCUUCUUUUGUCUAAUUAUGUGUGCUUUUCAAGCUUUGUUAUAUUCAAAUUUUAAUGCACUUGAUACUUACUUCAGAAUCAUUGGCAUUGAUCAAAUAAGGCAGGCGAGAGAAAAGAAAUUGACAAAGCAGAAAGCUUUAGUGAAAGCUAGAAAGCUUCAGUGAAAGCUAGAAAGCUUCAGUGAAAGCUAGAAAGCUUCAGGCUAGCAACAGAAAAGGAAUUGACAAAGCAGAAAGCUUUAGAGAAAGCUAGAAAGCUUCAGAUAAUAAUCAUGAAUAUAUUUUGGGUUAUUCUUCUUUUCAUAAGCUCGAAGUGCAAAUGGUACUUGAAAUGCAAUGCUUAUUUUGUGGUUCACAAUUUUCCUGAAAGGUUACAUACAUAUGGUUUAUACAAAGAGUUUCUGGUGAUGGGAAUUAUCAGAUAUCUGCAAUAAUGAGAAUGCAAAGUAAUAGUGUUGCAAGGUAUAAAUUCUAUUAUGAAUUCUUCAGCUGAUUUGGGGCAGAGGAGGGGGGAGGAAGUUCUGUUCAAAUUUGGUUUUUCCAAUGGCUUUGGAAGAAAUUAUAUCGCUAUUGUUAUUACAGGUGUCCAGUUUGCAGAAAUGACAAGGUAUGCUACAAUCUAUUCUUUGGUAGAUUUGAUUCAAAUUGGUAGAUUUCGGUAAGAAAUAAACUUUUAUCUUUUCUUUUAGUUAAAGACAGUUAGGACAUCAAUUUGUAAAAGAUAUGAAUAUUAACAAUGGUGAUAGAACCGUCAAUCCAUAUAGUUGUAAAUAGAUUUGAACAUAUAUGUAAAUAUUACAUAUUAUUGCAUAUCGUGUGUAUUUAUAACUUUCUACA